AUUUCUUCAGAUAAAGAAUAUUUCUUCUCCCAACCUGCCCUGCCUCACACCACAGUACCUCAGUGACAUGAAAAGAAUGGAACAUGACAACAGCGAAGACGACGACAGCAGAGACACCUCUGAAGAAAUGCGCUAGAGCCCUUGGGCCGUCACGCUUCAGGAAUGUGCGUGAGCCACUUUCGAUCUCCUGGCUUCUGCCCCCUACCCUGCUGGCAGGGCAUUGUGCAGCACCCUUUCCAGCCCACCUGGGUGCAGGAGAUCAAGGAAGAGAGCAUCUGCCAUCCAGCUCCAUCCCAUCUAGAGCAA